rnacentral:lncRNA from 1 species
CCCAAACGCAUUAAAUAUUAUUAAAUACGAAAUAAUUAUUCGACUAAAAUUAUAAUUUAUUUAUAAAUCUAAAGAACACCCAAAUAAUAAAUCUCUAACCCAAAUUCCAUACUAAGACCGUGGAACAUCUAACAUAGUAAUAGAAGUUUAAGUGACGGGCAUGCAAACCCGAAAGAAAUAAUAGACAUAAGAUAGGUAGAGCUGAAACAACGACCUCCACGAAUAAUGUGGCGGCUCACCUCAGCAAUAAGAUCCACUCAGCGAACUCGUUAGCCACUAGCCUCGCCCUUAACAACAAUAUCUGCAUGGACAUGCAGGUAAGGAGUAAGUUAUACGUAAAUAUAACCUAGUAAGAUUUUCGACCCGCCACUCUGAAUACCUCUAGAACAAGUGUUAGAAAAUACAAAUACACAACGAACACAUAAAUAAUAUGCACAGAAACUCUUUCACCAUAUAAUUACUUUAUAAGGUCCAAACAACUAUUCAACAACAAUAUUAUAUAUAUCUCAAUACAAUCCAUACUAAGGACUUGUCAUUAACGGCAGUACAGGAAAUUAACCAUACACCCCAACGAGUCCACGAUAACAUACACAAUGCCCCAAAUCUAUCACGGCGGCAUACACAAUGCUCCAACUAUAUUACGGCGGCAUACAUAAUGCCCCAAAUAUAUCAUGGCGGCGAAGAAAUAAUUUCUAACGCCCCAACACCAUAGCACGAGGCUACACCACAUCACAAAUUACUUAUUAAAUAAUUUUAGCUUUUUACAAAAUAAUAUAUAUUUACGGCUGGUCAAAGACCACCGAUUCUGCCAAGCGCACGCUCAUCCCAACACAUGGACCGGGCAUACAAAACAUACUUUCAAAACGAGUUUUAGUAAAACAAGCACCAAAUCUUAAAGUCUCACUUACCUCGCUAACGGAAAGUUACCAACCUUGCAACGUCUCGAACACCAAUCAAACGGUCUCUAAUGGCCUCGAUCUAUGCAAAAUAUUAAUUAACAUUAUCAAAUAAGCUAUUCGGGGUCAAAUCUCAAUCUCACUAACUUUCAAUCUUAAACUAACUCUUAAUAUUUUACACCUUAAUAAAAGCAUAUCCCAAUAUCUUAAUCUAAACAUAAUAUUCAAUUACAAUUCUUUUAAAGUAAUACCCUCAAUUUAACUCAAUAUUAGAUUCAGUUUUGUACGUUAGUACUUUAAUUCUAAAGAUAGUAACCAAACAGUAAAGUCAGAAUCUAUAUUAUUUAAAAAAUUGAGAUUUGUACAGUAGCAUCAAACAAAAAGUAACUUGCCAUGGAUUCCCACUGAUGCAGCGUAAAUACAUAAGUAUUCAUUGUUAAAAUUUCAAUAUUACACCCAAGUUAGUCAUUACCAUAAUAAUUAAUGUCUCAUAAUCAUUAUCCAUAUAUUACAUCACUCCACUUUUAUUGAAUUGGAUGCGGUAGGUAAAAAUUAGAUAUAUGCAUACCUUGUAACUUGCAUUCUUUUAUAAGGAUUUCUGCACAGUAAUUGGUACAAGUUGUCUGGCUUAUAAUGCAGGUUGCCGAAGACACAGUAUUUUCCCCCAAUAUUGUCUACUGCUACUAUUCUUUCUCC